rnacentral:pre_miRNA from 1 species
GAGCCUCGCGCUGACUCUGAAGGUUCUGGUAACUCGACUUCAGAUGGCAGAGCUGAGGCUGC